CACACAUAAUCGGAUCUCAUUUGUUAAAAAAAUAAAACAAAAACCCCAGCAGUGCAAAACAUACACUGAUAAAGGCUUUGGUGAAAGAUGAUACAAAGUAGAUCGACUGUUUCUUAAUUAGGAGCUCAGUAAACACCCUCUUCCUGGGAGAGCCUCCCAGAGGGUAUUUUGGGCAGCCCGGAGAGUUUUUAACCCUCAUUAGCUCCAACUAAAAAUGGACCCACUGGAAUUUUUACAGGCAGCUAUUAGGCAGGAGUAGAACUCACAGGGUAUUAUUAUGAACAUGGUUACUAAUUAUGCCUCCCAAGCCGGGGGUGGGUGGUGGUGGUGGGGGUGCUGAGGCUGGGCAGCUGGGGUCAGAGGAUGCUGUUGGGUUCCUGCCUUCCAGGGGGUGAAAUCACUGCUCUCUCAUCCUUGACAAUUUCUCCAUCUCCCAGCCAGGCCUCUGGACUGUCCAGGUCACCCUCUGGUGAACUUGGCCGAUAGAUUCUCUUUCAAGAAUGUUACAGCCAACCAAGCCAUCCGCGCCCCAGAGGCACCAGGCCUGCGUCCGGGCCCUGGAGAUCCAGGUGUACUGGUCAACUUGGUUUGCUCCACUCUCUGCUCUGCGCUCUGCCGGAGGCUGUCCUUGGUGGACUGGGCUCCCGUCUCCUGCCCUCACCUGCUCCUUCAGGCCUCAGACAGGUAACAGCUUCUGGGUUCUGCACCAUCCUUGA
rnacentral:lncRNA from 1 species